rnacentral:rRNA from 1 species
GGGUGCGAUCAUACCAGCACUAAUGCACCGGAUCCCAUCAGAACUCCGCAGUUAAGCGUGCUUGGGCGAGAGUAGUACUAGGAUGGGUGACCUCCUGGGAAGUCCUCGUGUUGCACCC